rnacentral:rRNA from 1 species
GUGGGGAAUCUUAGACAAUGGGCGCAAGCCUGAUCUAGCCAUGCCGCGUGAGUGAUGAAGGCCCUAGGGUUGUAAAGCUCUUUCAGCUGGGAAGAUAAUGACGGUACCAGCAGAAGAAGCCCCGGCUAACUCCGUGCCAGCAGCCGCGGUAAUACGGAGGGGGCUAGCGUUGUUCGGAAUUACUGGGCGUAAAGCGCGCGUAGGCGGACUGAAAAGUUGGGGGUGAAAUCCCGGGGCUCAACCUCGGAACUGCCUUCAAAACUAUCAGUCUGGAGUUCGAGAGAGGUGAGUGGAAUUCCGAGUGUAGAGGUGAAAUUCGUAGAUAUUCGGAGGAACACCAGUGGCGAAGGUGGCUCACUGGCUCGAUACUGACGCUGAGGUGCGAAAGCGUGGGGAGCAAACAGGAUUAGAAACCCCUGUAGUCC